rfam:Triticum urartu cultivar G1812 contig145728, whole genome shotgun sequence.
GAUCUACUUUCUCCGUUCCGAAUUACUUGUCGCAAGUAUGGAUAUAUCUAGAUGUAUUUUAGUUCUAGAUACACUUAUUUCUGCGACGAGUAAUUUGGAACGGAGGGAGUAGCUA